UACGUAGGGUGCGAGCGUUGUCCGGAAUUAUUGGGCGUAAAGAGCUUGUAGGCGGUUUGUCGCGUCUGCUGUGAAAAUCCGGGGCUCAACCCCGGACUUGCAGUGGGUACGGGCAGACUAGAGUGUGGUAGGGGAGACUGGAAUUCCUGGUGUAGCGGUGAAAUGCGCAGAUAUCAGGAGGAACACCGAUGGCGAAGGCAGGUCUCUGGACCACUACUGACGCUGAGAAGCGAAAGCAUGGGGAGCGAACAGG
rnacentral:rRNA from 1 species